rnacentral:rRNA from 1 species
UACGUAGGGUGCAAGCGUUUGUCCGGAAUUAUUGGGCGUAAAGAGCUCGUAGGCGGUUUGUUGCGUCGGCUGUGAAAUCCCGAGGCUCAACCUCGGGUCUGCAGUCGAUACGAGCAAACUAGAGUGUUGCAGGGGAGACUGGAAUUCCUGGUGUAGCGGUGAAAUGCGCAGAUAUCAGGAGGAACACCGGUGGCGAAGGCGGGUCUCUGGGCAACAACUGACGCUGGAGGAGCGAAGGCCGUGGGAGCGAACAGG